rnacentral:rRNA from 1 species
GGUGAACGCUGGCGGCGUGCCUAACACAUGCAAGUCGAGCGAACAGACAAUAAGCUUUCUCCUCUAACGUUAGCGGCGGGCGGGGGGGUAACACGUGGAUAACCUACCUAUAUUUCUGGGGUGACUUCGUAGAGCCAGUUACGAUACCGCAGAAUAUAAUCUACCGCAUGAAGCAGUAGUGCUAGACGCCUUUCCUGUCACUAUGAGCUGAAUCCGGGCCGCAUUAGCUAGUUGGUAAGGUAACGGCUAACCAAGGCGACGAAGCGUAGCCGAUCUGAGAGGGUGAUCGGCCACACUGGAACUGAGACACGGUCCAGACUCCUACGUGAGGCAGCAGUAGGGAAUCUUGGGCAAUGGGCGAAAGCCUGAUGGAGCAACGCCGCGUGAGUGAUGAAGGUCUUCGGAUCGUAAAGCCCUGUUAUUAGGGAAGAACAAAUGUAGAAGUAACUAUGCACGUCUUGACGGUACCUAAUGAGAAAGCCACGGCUAACUUCGUG